rnacentral:lncRNA from 1 species
CCACGCGCCUCCGGCCUUUAAAACCUGAAAAUAUUAAAUAUGGGAUUACAAUACUGGGUACACUCAGUGUGGGAACAUGCAAUCAUUGUCCAAGUUAAUAAAACGGUAACACAUACGGCUAUUUCAUACAUAUCCUCAAUAUUCGCACUGUGGCAAUCUAAGGACUUUAAAGUCCUGGACCCUAUUUACGGGCCCCUGGCGACAUCCUCAAAAUAAUGGUUGCAACCAUGUAAUAUGUAAUCGCAUUGUGGCAUACCAAGGAUCUUUCCAUCCUGGACCGAUUCAGCCGGCACCUAGCGAUAAAUGUAAUUCACAACACAUAUGGUACACACAUUAUAUUAAAAUGGACAAGAAUUAACCACGAGCAUGUACUGAAAUAAAUCCCACACCUGAAUUUUGAACUUGAACUUGAACUUCAACUUGAAUGCUAACUUGAGUAAUUCAAUUAAAAUUUACGUCCUAGUCGCGCUGCACCUAGUCAGAUAAUUUAAAUAAUAACACAUAAGGGCCUAAAUAUAUUGAAAAUAUUAAAUUAAGAAAUUUGUAAACCAUAAAACCAUUUGAAAAAUAAUUGGUCUAAUAAAUAAUAAAAUAGCAUGCUUCUUAUGAGUCCAUGAAAAUUAAAAUCAGAGCCAAAUUACUUAAUUAAAUCCAGCCCACCAAUUUAAUCUAACUUAAAGCCAAAGCCCAAGCCCAUUUUCCUUUAUCCUAAUCUUAAAAAUCUCACACACACACCACUCUUCACAACCUCACGCAGCCCCCAGCCUCCCUUUCUCCCUCUCUCCCUCUCCUCUUCUCGGCCUCUUGCCGCCGUCGCCAGACGGCACGCCGCCGCCGGAGGCCAGCGGCUCCGCUUCCUCUCUCCUUCCCUUCGACCUCUCUCUGUCUUUCCUCAGCUCUUGUCUCCCUCUCACUCUCCCUCACUUCUCGUCCUUCUCCCUCAUCUCUCUUCCUCCUCCCCUGCCCUUGUCCUCGCCUCACCAGCCUCAGCUGCGCCCCUCUUCUCCGGCGACCCCUGCCGCCACCUUCUCCUGCCCGGCAUCGUCUUCACCGUCUAUUUCCCUCCUGGCCGACAGCAGCACCACCAUCGCCGCCCCCGCGUCGACAGCUGCGCUGCCCAGGCUCCUUCUCCGUCUGUCCGACCGACCAGCAUAGCAGCGUCCAAGACUACCGUACCGCUGCCCCUUCUUCCUUCCUCUGUCGGCCGCCGUGGCGCGCAGCGCCGGCGGCUCCAUUCUGCAGCCAACCCCCCCUUUUUACCUCUUUCUCCUAUUUUGAGUCUGUCUUCUUUUAUUCUAUUAUGCAGUGUAAUGGUUUUAUCAAAACAAAGCAAGAAUUCAUGGGGUUUGGUUUCUGAAAAUAAAUUUAAUAGUAUGCACUGUAUUGAAACUAUAUAGUUUUACAUAAAUAUUUAAAAUUACCAUUUGAAACUCUGUAGUGAGAAAUAGCAGAAAUAUGGGGAAGAUGCAGAGAAAUAGGAGAAUGAGUACUUUGGGAAGAGAAUCAGAUGGAAAAGUCGGUGACUUGCUUCUGAAUUGAGAGAUGAUAGAGUAGGGUUUAAAUAGUGUGAAUUUCGUGUGCUGCACGAAUUUAAAUCAGUGUUGCCCAAGAAUGAGAAGUUUAAACAAUUAGUACUUGUUCUUCAAGAGUUUGAAAGUAAAAUAU